rnacentral:snRNA from 1 species
UAAGCUUCUCAGCUUUUUGGCUAAGAUCAAUUGUAGUAUCUGUUCUUAUCCGUUAGGGGAGCUGCCACCCCCUGGUAGAACAGAGAGGCCAUUUUUCUGGCCAGGGAUUGUACAGCAGGUCCCAAACCUAA